rnacentral:lncRNA from 1 species
GAGGUUGUAAUUUUAAGUAGCACAGCCGGGAGACCUCAGGAGGCAGCGGGCAUUUGAGUGAAGACCUGAGCAGGUGAGCGAGUCGGUGUGCUUGGAUCAGAGCUGCAAGAAGAGAGGCCAGAGAUGCGGUGGGGCUCAGAUCUGUAGGGUUUUGGUACCUUUGGGGCGGCUUUGGCUUUAACCUUGAGUGAGAUGGGAGCUGCUGGAAGGUUUUGUGCAGAGCAGCGGCAGGACCUGACUUAGGUUUGGAUAGGUGCACUUGCUCUGGGAGCCGAGUUCUUUUGAGGUGAAGGAUGAUGGUGACUUGGGUCCAGCGCAACAGUAAUAGAGGUUGGGGGGAAGUAGAUUUUAGCGGUGUUUUGGAGGUAAAGCCAAUAAUAUUU